rnacentral:rRNA from 1 species
GACGAACGCUGGCGGCGUGCUUAACACAUGCAAGUCGAGCGGAAAGGCCCCUUGUGGGUACUCGAGCGGCGAACGGGUGAGUAACACGUGAGUAAUCUGCCCUUCACUUCAGGAUAGCUCCCGGAAACGGGGAUUAAUACUGGAUAUGACACAUUCGCGCAUGUGGGUGUGGGGAAAGUUUUUUCGGUGGGGGAUGGGCUCCAGGCCUCUCCGCGUGAUGGUGGGGUAAUGGCCUACCAUGGCUCCGACGGGUAGCCGGCCUGAGGGGGUGACCGGUCACACUGGGACUGAGACACGGCCCAGAAUCCUACGGGAGGCAGCAGUGGGGAAUAUUGGACAAUGGGCGGAAGCCUGAUCCAGCAACGCCGCGUGAGGGAUGACGGCCUUCGGGUUGUAAACCUCUUUCAGCACAGACGAAGCGCAAGUGACGGUAUGUGCAGAAAAAGGACCGGCUAACUACGUGCCAGCAGCCGCAGUAAUAC